rnacentral:rRNA from 1 species
AUACGUAGGGGGCGAGCGUUGUCCGGAAUGACUGGGCGUAAAGGGCGUGUAGGCGGCUGGAUAAGUCUGGAGUGAAAGUCCUGCAUUCAAUGUGGGAAUUGCUUUGGAGACUGUCUGGCUUGAGUGCGGAAGAGGUAAGUGGAAUUCCCAGUGUAGCGGUGAAAUGCGUAGAGAUUGGGAGGAACACCAGUGGCGAAGGCGACUUACUGGGCCGUAACUGACGCUGAGGCGCGAAAGCGUGGGGAGCAAACAGGAUUAGAUACCCUGGUAGUCCACACUGUAAACGAUGAAUGCUAGGUGUAGGGGGUAUCGACCCCUUCUGUGCCGCAGUCAACACAAUAAGCAUUCCGCCUGGGGAGUACGGCCGCAAGGUUGAAACUCAAAUGAAUUGACGGGG